CCUACGGGGGGCUGCAGUGGGGAAUAUUGGGCAAUGGGCGCAAGCCUGACCCAGCAACGCCGCGUGAAGGCAGAAGGCUUUCGGGUUGUAAACUUCUUUUGUCAGGGGAGCGUAGAAGACGGUACCUGACGAAUAAGCCACGGCUAACUACGUGCCAGCAGCCGCGGUAAUACGUAGGUGGCAAGCGUUGUCCGGAUUUACUGGGUGUAAAGGGCGUGUAGACGGGUUGACAAGUCAGAUGUGAAAUCCUGCGGCUUAACCGCAGAACUGCAUUUGAAACUGUUGAUCUUGAGUACUGGAGAGGCAGAUGGAAUUCCGAGUGGAGCGGUGAAAUGCGGAGGUAUUAGGAGGAACACCAGUGGCGAAGGCGGUCUGCUGGACAGCAACUGACGGUGAGGCGCGAAAGCGUGGGGAGUAAACAGGAUUAGAUACCCUUGUAGUC
rnacentral:rRNA from 1 species